rnacentral:sRNA from 1 species
AGAAGUCUCGUGAUUGCUCUGGGAGCUUUGCUUAGACACUUGAAACUACAGAAGAAAGAAGGAUCUAGCGAAAUAUGGCUACAGAGAGCCCUGCUACGCGUCGGGUCCAGGUGGCAGAACAUCCCAGUAGAGACGGGGUUUCACCGUGUUAGCCAGAUGGUCUCGAUCUCUUGACCUCGUGAUCCGCCCACGUCAGCCUCCAAAUGUGCUGGGAUUACAGGUGUGAUGUACUAGCAUUCUUUAUUAAAAAUUUACCUUUGUGGGCUGGGUGCAGAGGCUCAUGCCUGUAAUCCCAGCACUUUGGGAGGCCGAGUGGGGGAGAUCACGUGGUCAGGAGUUCCAGACCAGCCUGGCCAAUAUGGUGAAACCCCAUCUCUACUAAAAAUACAAAAAUUAUCCAGGCGUGGUGGCAUGCACCUGUAGUCGC